rnacentral:misc_RNA from 1 species
ACAAGAUUCUUGACCUCAUGAUUCUUCACUAUGAUGAAAACAGUAAUUCAACCCCAAGAUCCAGCCAAGACAUUUAAAUAAAUUCCAAAACAAAAAUACAAAAGAUCAUAACAAAAAUUAAGUUGUAGAAGUGAAAAAGAUAAAAAAAGCCUAAAAAACGGAAAGAAAACUAAAGUCACCAGGGAAAGGGGUGGUGGAAUAGAGUUACU